rnacentral:snRNA from 1 species
UUUGUAAGUAAAUGUUGUG